rnacentral:rRNA from 1 species
GGGGGGGAUUCUUCGGAACCUCUCACUAUUGGAGCGGCCGAUAUCGGAUUAGCUAGUUGGUGGGGUAAAGGCUCACCAAGGCAACGAUCCGUAGCUGGUUUGAGAGGACGACCAGCCACACUGGGACUGAGACACGGCCCAGACUCCUACGGGAGGCAGCAGUGGGGAAUUUUGGACAAUGGGGGAAACCCUGAUCCAGCCAUCCCGCGUGUAUGAUGAAGGCCUUCGGGUUGUAAAGUACUUUUGGCAGAGAAGAAAAAGUAUCCCCUAAUACGGGAUACUGCUGACGGUAUCUGCACAAUAAGCACCGGCUAACUACGUGCCAGCAGCCGCGGUAAUACGUAGGGUGCAAGCGUUAAUCGGAAUUACUGGGCGUAAAGCGUGUGUAGGCGGUUCGGAAAGAAAGAUGUGAAAUCCCAGGGCUCAACCUUGGAACUGCAUGUUUAACUGCCGAGCUAGAGUAUGUCAGAGGGGGGUAGAAUUCCACGUGUAGCAGUGAAAUGCGUAGAUAUGUGGAGGAAUACCGAUGGCGAAGGCAGCCCCCUGGGAUAAUACUGACGCUCAGACACGAAAGCGUGGGGAGCA